rnacentral:rRNA from 1 species
UAACCUGCCCAAGAGAUCGGGAUAACACCUGGAAACAGAUGCUAAUACCGGAUAACAACAGAUGAUGCCUAUCAAUUGUUUAAAAGAUGGUUCUGCUAUCACUCUUGGAUGGACCUGCGGUGCAUUAGCUAGUUGGUAGGGUAACGGCCUACCAAGGCGAUGAUGCAUAGCCGAGUUGAGAGACUGAUCGGCCACAUUGGGACUGAGACACGGCCCAAACUCCUACGGGAGGCAGCAGAC